rnacentral:rRNA from 1 species
AUGGGGUAGCAAUACCCUGAUGGCGACCGGCAAACGGGUGCGGAACACGUACGCAACCUUCCUUUAACUGGAGAAUAGCCCCUCGAAAGAGGGAUUAAUACUCCGUAACAUGAUGAUAAGGCAUCUUAUUAUUAUUAUAGCUCCGGCGGUUAGAGAUGGGCGUGCGCCUGAUUAGGUAGUUGGCGGGGUAACGGCCCACCAAGCCUGCGAUCAGUAACUGGUGUGAGAGCACGACCAGUCACACGGGCACUGAGACACGGGCCCGACUCCUACGGGAGGCAGCAGUAAGGAAUAUUGGUCAAUGGACGCAAGUCUGAACCAGCCAUGCCGCGUGGAGGAUUAAGGCCCUCUGGGUUGUAAACUCCUUUUAUCUGGGAAGAAAUCCAUAUAUUCUUAUAUGGUUGACGGUACCAGAGGAAUAAGCACCGGCUAACUCCGUGCCAGCAGCCGCGGUAAUACGGAGGGUGCAAGCGUUAUCCGGAUUCACUGGGUUUAAAGGGUGCGUAGGCGGGUAAGUAAGUCCGUGGUGAAAUCUCUGAGCUUAACUCAGAAACUGCCGUGGAUACUAUUUGCCUUGAAUAUUGUGGAGGUGAGCGGAAUAUGUCAUGUAGCGGUGAAAUGCUUAGAUAUGACAUAGAACACCAAUUGCGAAGGCAGCUCACUACACAAUCAUUGACGCUGAGGCACGAAAGCGUGGGGAUCAAACAGGAUUAGAUACCCUGGUAGUCCACGCCCUAAACGAUGAUUACUCGACAUCAGCGAUACACUGUUGGUGUCUGAGCGAAAGCAUUAAGUAAUCCACCUGGGAAGUACGAUCGCAAGAUUGAAACUCAAAGGAUUGAC